CUUCCUGUAUAAAUGUUAAAAAAAUAUUGUUUAACAUACCCGCAGUUUAUCAAAAAGUUUUUUAACUUAAACAUUUGAAAAUUAAUUUCGCAAAAAUAAUCCCCACGUUUCUGUAUUGUGUUAUGUGACGAUAUUUCUUAAUUUUGUACUUUUCGAUAAAAGAGAACUUAGCUCUAGUAAUUGUUCCUGAAAAAAAAUAUACAUGUUGAUUAGUUUUCUGACUUCUUACCCAUAUUCGUUCAUUAACAUCAACUGCACGAUCGCUUCUUCUUCAUCUUGUGUCCGUUGCAUUUGACCUAUCAUCUCUUCGUCUUCUCUCUUAUGUGUCUGUUGCUUGUACUGCUGAACUUCAAUUAAUGCUUUUUUAUGCGUCUUCUUCUGUAGAUGAACAAAUAGUUUAUUAGAUUUUAUUUUUGUUUUCAGCACUUUUAUUCUUAUUCUUCCUCAUAUCGACUUGGUCAUAAAUUAUCGAUUUGAAUCAUUGAUGCAUGUUAAAAUCAAUUUUUUUUUUUUAUAUAUUCAUGAUAUGUUUAUAUGAUUUUCUUUUUUUCUUUUUUUUUAAUAUUUGGAACAGGCAAGACCGACAGUCUUCUUCUUAUCUUUGGGAGCAAUAUUUGGCUGUUUUUUUUUUUUUCAUUCAAGAACUUUAUCGUACCGUUACAGUACCGUACCUUGAUGAAAUCAGGAAGUUUGUUUUUUCCUGGUGGUAGCUGGGUAUACCAAACCGAACCAUUUUCUAUUUUCUUUGUUUACCAUAACGUUUUCUUUUUUGAUUGUUUUUCGUUUCAUGGUCAUGUUAUUCAUUCAAGAACUUUUUUGUAUCGCUGGAUACAGUACCUUGACGAAUCAGGAAUGUCUCUAUUCCUGGCGGUAGCUUGGUUUACCAGACCAGACCAUUGAUUUAUUUAUUUUUUUUUUUUCAUUUCUGGACCCAAGGUAUUCAUUAUUGUUUGAUGGCUUAUUUAUUAUUCAUUCAAGCACUAUGUGUAUCAAUGGAUACAGUACCUUGAUGAAUCAGGAAUGCUGCAUUCCUGGUGGUAGCUUGGUUUACCAGACCGCGCCAUUUUCGUUUUUAUCGAUUCUUCGUUUCUUCGCGUUUUUGUUUUUUUUUAUCAUUUCGUGGCAUAUUUAUUUCAUUUAUUAUUUAUAAUUCAUUCAAGAACUUUUUAGCAUCGUUAGAUACAGUAUCUUGAUGAAUCAGGAAUGCUGUAUUCCUGGUGGUAGCUAGGUUUACCAAACCAUGCCAUUUUCGUUUUUCCGUUUUCUUUAGCAUAGUUUUUUUUUCAUAUAUCAUGUUUUAUAUUUCUUGGCAUAUUUAUUAAGCAUAUUAUUUAUUAUUCAUUCAAGAACUUGUUAGUAUCGUUAGAUACAGUACCUUGAUGAAUCAGGAAUAUUGUCAUUCCUGGUGGUAGCUUGGUUUACCAAACCUUUGAUACUCUGUACUUUGGCAAUGUGGGGAAAACAAAACUGUUCAAUUCCAUACUUUUCAUUUUCAAACAUCUCGUUUAAUAUUUUCUGCACAUUCAUUCUGGUGUGCACUAACCUUGUCCAAUCAUUCAUUCUUACAAACAAACAUAGGUAAAUAGAUAAAACUAUUGCCUGAUUUUUAACUUUCCAAAUGGUACAGAAUUUGACGACUCGUCGACAAUGUAAUUUCAAUUAAUAUGCCAUAUUUUUUUUUUAGUUUCCGAUGCCAGAUUUACUCUUUUUUGUAUAUUUUUAUCUUUAUCUUUCUCUAUCCAAUGGAUAUGGUGCACCUUGGUCCGAAUAAUGUUCAUAUGAAUUUGUAUUAAUUGUAUUAAUGGUUCUGUAUCAGCCUCUGGUUGUAUGUAUUUGUCCCUUUAUUCGUUGUUUUUUUUUUAUUAUUAUUUUAUUUUAUUUUUUUGACUUGUCGUAUUCAAAUUAGAAGUAUUCAGCUCAUUCUCGACCUGCUGGAAUUUCGUUACGAUUUUUUUUUUGUAAUAGGGGUAAUUAAUUCAUUUUCGUUAAAAAAUUUCCCAUGGUAUAAACAUGCAUCAAUGUUCAUUAUUUCAUUCAUGUCUUUCUUGAAGAUUUUGGUAGUGUCUCUGUCAUUACUAUGUAAUCCAUGAUGUAAUCUAUUACCUAGGAAACUCGCUAUUAUGUUAUUAAGCGAUACUUUGCUUUAUCAUUUUUGUUAAAAAUAAAAUCUGCAAAUUGAUAGCGCGCUAAAAGCAGCAAUACGAUCGACCGUGUACUCAUUCUUAAAAAAAUACAUGUAUUACUCGUUUCCGUAUAUCUUAAACGUUUUAUUUUAUGUUAUUAUUCCUUUUUUUCAUGAUUUCCAUGUUGAUUGUGAGGAAAUUUCACAUGAUCUUCAUUUUAAACAACCUUUUAUAUUUUUUUUCGAUUUUCAUUUAGUUCAAUCAGAUGUAUUUUUACCUAUACAUUACACAAACUUGAAAAUUUCAUUACUGUUGUAGCCCAAUCAUUUAUACUUUGUUAUGCGAUUGUUUUCUCGAUUUGUUCUCGUUUUUAAACCCCUACAUUUGCAAUGAAUUGAAGGUAUAAUCUAAUUGAUCCCUAAUCAAUGAUGAGAAAAAAAACAAGAUGCGAAUCUAUUCUUGUUUGUUUUUACCACAUGUUUUUUUCCUUGGCAAAUUAAAAUCCAUUAUGUUUAUUGCAAACACACUUCUUCACUCCUUCUCUUCGCACACGAAGGCAUUGACACCCAAAAAUUCUACAGCAACAGUAAUUGCUGCGACAACAGUAAGUGGCUUGUGACGAUAGAAAAUGUGCAUCUGCAAGCAAAACGAAAACGUUGUCGCGUCUCUUUCCUUAUCCGUGAUAGCCGAAAGAAGAGAAAACAAAUUUCAGCUUCAUUCCGUUUUCGACUUGCAGUGCUAUAGGAUACUGGAGAAAAGAACAUGGGAUGUCACAUCGUCUUUAUUUGGGACAUGUAACUUACAGAAUGCUCGGAAGUUAACCAAGUCCUGCGAUAGGAUCCAGGCGUGCUCCGUGCAGUGGACCAUCACCAGGAUAGAGAAAUCCAUCUCUACCCGUACAACAAGGCCAGGGAUUCAGAGUGCAAGGGAAAAAACAUAUACAUAGAAAUUUAUGUAAAAUAAAUUUCAAUCAUUCUAAUCAAUUUCUAAGUGCUUUGAUUGUGUUUAGUUAUCAUUUUUUUUUAAUUUUAGAUACGAUUAAACGUUAGUGUGUUCAAUGGUAGUGUCAGUAAGGGAACGAAAAAGGAAAAAAAUAAACGGUAAGUUUUUCCUUCCUUAUUAUUACUUUUAAGUGUGGUGUUCCCUUAAAAUUUCAUAAAUGUUGAAACCAAGUUAUUUUAUCUUCGCUAGAUAUUUUUUUAAGUGUUAAACAUUAUUCCAGAUUCAAAAUUGGGACGUUUUGAACCAUUCAGUAUGAUUCCCCAUAUCUUAUCUUUUGUCAUGAAAAAUUACGUUGCCUGACAAACUAUUGAAUAUUGCUUCUCAUAUUUUUCAAAUAAUCAAUGUGCUUCUUUUGCUUCCAAUAUGCGUUUCUAGCGAAAGACCGUGAAGUUCUUUCAAGAUUGUGUCACUAUUUCCUGACACCUAAGCAUUCUCUCUGAAUUGGCAAAAUGGAAAAAUAUUUUUUUUUUCAAUGUGACAUAACCUGUCCAAAUGUGGUAAAGGUUUUAUUUUUCUGAAUGCAAUAAGAGAAUUUGAAGUACCUAAAAUAUUCCUCAAGAUGUCUUUCAAAUUGUUAAACAAAUUACAACAUUUCAAAUUGUACUAUUUCGAUCCAAUCAAGAUAGUUUCCCAUAGUUUUUCUUUUGUAUGGACAUCUCGUUACCUGACAGAAAGUCUUUAUACCCAUUCAUGCAGUUAUUUGAAUGCAGUUCUGCUAAUUAAAAUCGCUAUUUAAACAUCAACAUUCUCUAGAUUUGUAUCCGUAUUUGCUUAUGCUAAUCAACCUUUGGAUUUUUUUUUCAAUUUAGUUUUCAUUGAAUCGUUUUAUAUCUGCCAAAUGCUGUGCUGUGUUUUCUUCUGAUUCUGCCAACGUUGUGGAAAUUCUUUAUUAUUAUAUUGUUGAUAUUGAGUAUUGAAUAAGAGCAACAUUUGUCUGAUCAAACCUGGAUAACAAUAUGAUAAUAUUGCAAUGAUCUGUUAAAAAAAAUAAAAUUUUGAUUGGAAGCAAAUUGUUUAAAAUGUUAGUUUCCUUCAAUAUUUUUGUUCAAGGUUUCUUGCAUUCCCCAUGAUAAGUAUUUAAAUUAUUUUGUUUUAUUUUUCAAGGCUUUCAAAACUUUGCAUAAAUUUUCAUGAUAUUCCUGCAUUAUUUUUCAAUAAUUAACAAUAUCAUCUAAAUAAAUGAUGGUUCCUUGAUUUUAUUGUUUCCAGGAAUUUAACAUUUUUUUUCAUGUAGCGUUUAAAGGAUUCCUGGUAACCUUGUUUAUUUUUUUUUUUUGCUGGAAAUUUUGCUAAAAAUUCUCAUAUCUGUUUUUUUUUAAAUCAUGCACUCGGAAAGUACAAACGUUUGAAUUUUCCUUUUGAUUUAAAUGAAGUUGUUUGUUAUGCACUCUGGCAGGAAAUUGAUUGGCACAAAACUCAUCGAAAUACAAAAAUGUCUGCAAUUUAUCAUGAAAUCUAUCUAAUUUUGGAAUGUAGUGGAAAGCCAAUUGCAUUGAGAAAUGUUAUUAAACUGCUGCAGAAAUUGUAGAGAAAAACAAUAAUUGCUUGCUGUAUAAAUUGCAAAAAAGUUGCAAAAUCUGAAUUUGAAAUACUUUAUGUUUUUAAUUUAUGACUUGGCAGAUUGCAGAUUUUUUUUCCUGAUAUGCAGUAAAGUAUAAAAAUGAAUAAAUUACUAAAAAAUCAUUCAUGAGAAUUGGAACUAAUUAUUACUCACCAAAAUGAAGAUAUUUCUUUUAAUAUUUUCCUCAUCCCCUCCUUCUGAACUCAAGAAAGAAAAAAAAACAUUCAGAGUUAAUUGUGACACUUAUUUCUUGUCGCAUUCCAAGCACUUGCAGUAAUAAUUUUCUCUUACUAAUAAAACAUAUGUCUCUUCGAUUCUUUAGAUUUUUGAUCUACAGUCCAUUUUGCACAAAAAUAGUAAAAAACAACGUGUUAACGAAAUAUAAUUUUUUUUUUCAAUUUUCCAAAAGUUUGCUGUUAUCCACUUUUACAGUUCGUCUAAUUUCCACUUUGAAUCAUUUUGAUUAUUCGCUCGCACUACUUUUUUAUUUGCACGCACUAUCAAGUUUCCAAAUUUGCACAGUUUUGCACACCAAUAAAAGUUAAAACCAACUUGAAGAGUUUGGAAAAAAUGUUCUCGGUUUUUGAAAAAGUUUGUUCUAAAAGAGUUCAUUCACUUUACGAGUUCUUCUGAUACUUCAUCCUAACGUGUUUUAAUCAUUUGCACUACUGUUUGAUUUGCACGGUAACAGUACUUUGAUUUGCACAGUUUCGCACCAAUCAGAAAUGACGCACCAAAUUUCAUCUAAAUCUGAAAUUCUUUUUCGCUGUCACCAUCUGUAACCGAAUCGAGCCGUAAACUGUAACCGAACUUAGCUUCUUGUGAAUCGAACUCGUUUCAGUAACCGACCUCCCCACUCACUUUUUUUCAAAAUUGCAACCGAUACUUAGUAAUUCGAACUCGCAGUCUUAAAGAUAUGUCAUCAUUUCAAUAGAUUCACCAACACUUGUUAACACUACACCACUUUAUUCUUCUUUUUAACAAAAAUACUGUCUUACAAGAAAAACCCGACUAACUGACUCAUUGACUAAAUGCACUGAAAACUGAAACACCUGCUAACAGCCUAAACUAAACUGACUACAGAAACUUCUAGGAAAAAAAAUAAUAUGACGAGACCAGCAGUGGCAGCCGCCGCGAUCCUUGGAUCUGCAACCCUUUAUAUAGGGGUCCUCUCCCUAACCAUCAACUCUUAUUCUCCUGAUCAAAGAUUCUCCAGGACUCUCCCCAUACCAAAGAGAAAUUAAUUUCCCAAUGCCCCCAUGCGUAAUUGAUUUUUAAUUACGCUCCUUUCUAAUAUUUGCAUCUCCCCCAUCCGUGAGAGCAAUUCUAAUCUCUCCCCUGCACGGAUGAUCAAUUUUCCCUAUGCCCCCCAUUUCGCCAUCUCACAUCUGCGAGAUUAAUUGAGCCUCCAGAUCGAAUGGCCAAUUUAUUCUCACCUCUGAGAUUCGGACCUCCCAACAACUCUCCCCAAAACAGAAUACAGAAAGGCUAAAUCUCCGAUGCAUCAUAGCAUCCCCCAUCCACAUUCUCACAUCUGUGAGAUCAUACCAAAAUUCUGAGGAGAGCGAAAUUACUCGCGAAUUCAAUCUCAAAAUUUCUUCCCUUAGUGGCUGAGUCAUCAAGGGCCACACCAACCAUCAUCAUCCCCGAACUUGAUUUUUCAUGAACGCACCGGGCGAUCGUAAAUUUAUAGUGUUUACUUUUCUUCGUCACCCGUCUUAGUUUUACGAUCACUCAUGCGUUAGAGUUUUCACGCCUUCUAAGCAUGGAUGCGUGGACGGUCGUCCAUAAACAUAAUUUUACGAUCCAAUUAUGAUCGUCGUCUGUGAUUACCUUUCUCUUUCGGGGAAGGUUAUGCAUUUCCAAGUUUU